AUGGUGCAAUAGAGAAACUAUAUGAUUUGGCAUGCCACCUCAAUCCUAGGGUUUCAUGUUAUAGCUUAUGUAUUGUUGGUGGCAUGAGAUUUCAUACAAGAGAUUUUGAUAUGCAGAGACAGACCCAAAAUAGUGAAAUUCUGACGUUGAGAAUCGAUGGAGAUAAUGAGAUUAAAUAUUAUGGCAUCCUAACGGACAUUAUACAGUA
rnacentral:lncRNA from 1 species